UGAGAUCAUGACCUGAGCCGAAAUCAAGAGCCGAUGCUUAGCCGUUGAGACACCCAGGCACCCCAGGUAUAGUUAUUUUAAAGCCCUUUGUAUUUUAACCUUUAUACUAGAGUUAAAAGUAAUAUAUAUACCACCAUUAAAUUAUUAGAGUAUUCUGAAUUUGACUAUAUAUUUACCUUUACCAGGUGAGUUUUAUACUUUCAUUUAUUCAUUCAGCUGCAACCCGAGGGGAAAUGUGGUUCUACUCUGAGGAGCCCCCUUUCAUCGGGCCUCCCUGAGAGGGUCAGUGGGCAUGAUCCUGGGUCCCAAGGUACUUUUAGUUCUGGGGGUGCUAGGCUAUGGCAGAAGCCUGAAUGUGUCUGCAGAAAACCAGUAUCCACGCAAUUCCAGAAGAGAUGCUAAGCGCGUGGACAGGACCUUAAAUCACCUAACAUGAGUGCUGUUCAUAACUGGUGCUCAGAGCUGUUGAUUGGCUACACGAGAGCUAGCCAGUCAGCAGGCAUUUAUUCAAAUUUGCUGGGUGUAUAGAGUUGGGCCACCUGCCUCCUGACCUAGGGGGAGCUCUCUUUCCUGGUAUUGAUAGCCUCUUUCUUGUUCUCUCACCGGUGGGCUCAGCUCCACCUCAGGCUUUAGGCCCAUUUGGACCUGCCCUGGGACCGGGGGACUUAAAUAGUUCUAGACCAUCCAUCUGGGGCUUUACCUUAAGUCAGCCAGCCUCUGGAUCUAACCGCAUGUUUGCUCUCUGAGUGUGGGCCUUAUUCUCACAGGGCCAUCCCUGAUUGUGGGACUUGAGCCUUCUGCGACAGACCUGAGUCCCUGUCUCCGCCACCCACCCCCAGCCAGUCAUCACCCCUCCUUGGCCUUUGUAUUUGGCCCUCAGCUCCCUGGACUAUCCACCCACCCACACGGGACUUUGAAUGUCAUGUGAGAACACUGCUACUCCCUCAUGGGCCCCCCUCAAGGCUGAUGCCUGCCUUUGGGACCCUCUGCUCUCCUUUUCAAAUCUGACCUUCCAGUUACAGGGCCACCCCCAGCCAGACUCUGCCCGAGGCUGUUGGUCCCCAAGUCUGCCCUUCUAACUCUAUUCCGAGGCCCACGUGCAGCCAAGUUCUUGUCCCCGUGGCCUUGUGAGGUUUGUGGUCCAGACCAAAGUAAGACAGUCAUGACAUGGGGUGGGCCCCACAUUUCCCCAGGGACACAUUUCCUCCUGCGCUACUGCACUUGGCUGCAGUUUGGGAGGAAUGAGAUAGGAGGGGAGACACAGAGAGGUGUCGGGCCUCUGUGGUCAGAAGCUCCGGAGCUGGUGUAGCCGCCCGCCUAGGAUUUCCCCCGCUGCUUUGGUGGGCAGCCCUGACUGAUGUCAGCAGCCCUGCCUCGCACACACGUGCCUGGCUCUGUUGGGUUCCCCAGAAGCAGAGCCCGAGUUAAGGAUUAGGUGCCACGAUUUCCUGAGACGGGGGAAGCAGAAUGUGGCUUCAGAGAAAGUUGGUUCUCGGCCCGAUCCACAGGGAAGGUCUGGAGCAUAAACUGCAUCCCAGUGUUGACCCCCUACCCGAGGCAAGGGAGCCCCCAUUUUAGUUUAUCCUAGACUGUAGGCUGCUCAGCUUCCAAGCUAAUGAUUCCCAUCAGCUGAGGGGUGUUCUCUGGAGAAGGGCCAAGGUCCACAGCCCACAUAGUGUGGGUGCAGAGCCUGGCAAAGGGGAUCUGGGUGGAGUGCUCUAAGAGAACUGACUGUAGCAUCUUUCUCUGUCUGAGCCUUCCAAGCUGGGGGCCCUCUUGGCCCAACAGCAAGUACAACCUGGAAUGUGGGGAUGGGGGUUAGCUCUCCUGGCCCGUGAGGGAUGAGGGCCACCAGAAAAAUGCCCGUCUCCUGUCCCUGGAACAGACCAACCUGGGUAGCAUUCUGUGCAAUCCCCGGAGAUUCUGGCAGAAUUGAGCCCCUGCUGCGCUUUCCCUCUCCUCCCUCCUAUCUCUUGGAAUCAUCUCCCAAACGCACACCUUUGAUCAGGGGGAUCCAGAUCAGAACACACUGGGGCGGGGGCAGAAGUCCGGGCCGUAUCCUGAGGGUAAUGGAGACUUGUGGAAAGAUUUUGUGCUGGGUCAGGGUGAUUGGACUGGGUUUUUACUUUAGGACUGUUCCCACCGUGGGAAGGAAGUGAGAAGUGGACAAUGUCACAGUGGUCCCGGGAGAGGGGUUUGGCUGGUGAGUGUUGGGGGAAGAAAAGGAAAGGGGUCACCAAGAAGGAGAGAGAGAUGGGACUCGCGCUAGAUGGAGGGAACAGAACGAGUCUGCGGCCCAAAGGCCUGGCAGUGCGGAGCCCAGGGCCUGGGGCAGUAGGGGGCCUCAGACAGGAGCUGGUUUGGGGGCAACAGGCAGUCAGUCUGCCCAGUGUCCUCCUUCUCUAAAGGAGCAAUGAUUCCAUGAAAUGUCCAGAAGAGGCAAGUUUAUAGAGACAGAAGGUAGAUUAGUAGCUUCUUAGGACGGGUGGGGGAUGGGGGUCUCAGAAGGAUCGGGCGUUGGGUGUUGGUGGUGGCUAAAGGGGCCACUAAAUGUUUUGAAAUUAACUGUGGAGAUGGCCGUACGACUCCACGCGUAUGCUGAAAACCAUUGAGUUUUACACUUUAAGUGGGCGAAGUAUACCGUAUGUGAAUUCUAUCACAACAGAGCUGUUGUUUCAAAACAACAACAACAACAACAACCAAUGCAAAGCUGUGCAAGGGACGUGGGAUCAGCUGUGGGAGGGAAGUCUGCUGACUAAUGGAAGGUGGGAGGGACCUCAAAAGUCCUGUUACUCACUGACCUUAUUUACCAGCGGAACGCUGGGCCCGUCUUGCCCACGGGACAGGGUGAGUCAGGGGCUUGAACCCAUGUCUCCAGACCCCCCGGCCCCGCGUUCCCCCCACCCCAUUACCGCCAUCCACCCUGCCCGCAGCUGCCCCUUCCCCCCCCCGGCCCCUCCAUCCGGCAACCUUGCCUCCCUUUUGACCGGCAGCCUGCUGAGAGGUCAAAUGACAAGAGCGACCCUCCCUUUCCCCGCGGAGAGCUCGACAGGGUGCACAGUAUGUGCACAGCCUCUGCUCCUUUAAGGCAGCGCGGCCCAGCGGGGCGCCCUGUCUGCUGUCCCGGGUGCAUUUCCGGCUCCCUCUCUCACCGGCUCUGAGCCCUUGGGGAAGCCACUCACUGCUUCUGCCAAACCUCCAUCGCCUCACCUAUGAACAGGGAAUAAACAACAGACUCUACCUCCCAGGACCGCAAUGAGGACUCACUGAGAACAUCCACGGACAGCACUUACUUCGAAUUCUUACCUGUGCACGAGGCACAGGGGGGCAGUGUCGCCCCCCUCCAUUACAGAGGGGGACGCAGAGCUGGUGGGGGUAGAAUCAGCGGGGAGAACUGCUUGGGGUCACGUGCCCAGGCUGCGAGGGGUACAUGGGGACACCGAGGCCCACUUCCUGCCCUGAAGCGCAUGGCCUGAGCCAAAGAGGGGAGAAGAUUGGGCCCCUGGCCAUCAGGCUGGGCUGAGAGGGAAUGUACAGGCCCAAACCUGGCUGUGGGACUCAGUAAAAAGUACUUGGGCUGCUUUGGGGCAAGGAUCCCGGGACUGGGCGAGUGCUGGGGCCCCAGGAGGGCUCGGAACACCAGAGAAGAGGAAGAGGGCAUCCCAAUUAUGGGAAUCUGAGCAAGCAGUGUUGGAGACCGAAGGGGAGUGGCCUGUGUGGGGUCAAAGAAGCUGGAUGCCCGGCCACUGGGUACAAAGGACAACUGAAGCCAGAGAAAGGCCAGGUAAGGGUGGAACCACAGCCAGAACUGGGCUCCCCUCCCUCCUGCCACCUCGGGCUGGUGAUGUCUUUCUGACCCUCAGCAAAACCUUCUAAUGUCAUGAAGACUGGUGGUCAAGGGGUGGUCAAGGGGAGUCUGGACAUUCCCCCCCCUCCUGUGCUCUUUGUGCUGGUCCCAGAGGCCCGGGACCCCUGUCCAGAGGAGGCCUCUAGGAGGCAAUAAUCAAGACAGUGACGACAACAUUAGGAUCUCUGGCAGGAGAUCUAGACCCUUCCUCCUGUGCCGCAGUCACGCUCAGGGGUCUCUGCCUGCUUUGUCUUCGUCUACAGCUGCCCUUCUUCAGUGAGUCCCCACCAGAGACCAGGCACGAUGCCAAGUUCAUCUCUUCAUCUCAGAGUGGAGAGACGGGCUCAGAGAAGUUCAGUCAGUUGCCCAAGGACUGGAGUUCCAGAAGCAAACAGUGGCAAUCAGACGACUGCUGCCUGAGACUCCAGACGGCAGGCCCGGAGGGUUUGUAAGCUCCUCGAAGACACCAGGUCCCCGGCCACCUGCCUAGGAUUCCUGCCCCCAGAGCUGCGGCCUCUGAGCCCCUGGGGCCCCUGCAGCUUCCCCCGGCACUGGGCCCAGGGCUCUGGAGACUGGGGACCAGCCCGGGGCCCUCUGGGGCUGGCCGAGGUGCUGGUGGGUGGGGUGGUUGUGACUGAGGCAGGGUGGCUCAGGGAUGCCCUGGGGAGGGAGAAGGGUCAGCCCAAGGCCGUGCAGCUCCCAAAGAGGCAGCCACCUCCCAGGCUCUCUGACUCUGGUCAACCCAUCUCCACUAACCUGGGUGGACAGGGGCUCCCGUCAGGACCCGCAGAGGCUGAGGUGACCAGGCCCAGACAAUCUCUGUUCCUCCCACGUCUCAAGGCUGCCUUGGAACCCGAGAAGCCUCCACCUGUUCCACACCAGCCAAGGGCAUCUGAGAAACGGAUGCAUCAUCUUUCCUGGACCGUGCUGGAAGGCUGGAUUCCUAGAAGACAGGAAUUUAUGGUGUGAGAGCUCCAGCCCCCGCAAACCCGCAGCCAAGGUCAACAGCACGAGGGGGGCAGCCCUGCCAAGCGAGGAGGGGAGCAGUGACUUUGGGAGCUGGUUGCACAGAAAACCAAAGUACAUCCAUUAAAAAAAAAAAAAAAAAUCCCUUCUCUCCCUCACGUUCCCAAACUGGGGGCUUAAAAAAAGUCCCCCAGACUGGCCCAGACAAGGCCCCUUGUCUGGGAAGACUGAACCCGUUUGGAGACAAGGCAUGCGAAGCUGCUGGGGCGGGGGCCCAUGGAAGGCCUCGGGGCGGGUGGUGAGCAGGCUACGCAUGUGUCCUCGUCCUUCGAGCCAACCGAGGGCAGCUGAGAUGGAAAUAGGAGCCCUGGGCCCUUCAGAAAGCCCCCCAACGUGACAGCCUCAUUUGCCCCCUCUCUCCCCUCUCCCUUCCGGAGUCGGGGGUCUUGACUACCCACACACACUGAAUGCCCAGCACCCUGGGGACCAGAGCUCCCUGUCACAAGCCCUGAGUCUCUGGCAGGAGAGAAUAAGUUUGCCCCAGCCUCCUAGGGAGCUGAGGAGGGGCCCGGAGACCACCUCGAUUCAGACUCCAACAACCGGGCGCUGGGAAGAUAGCCCCCACCCUGGUCCAGAGCCCGGGCAGGUGCAGCUAAACACCCACCGGUUAUCUGUGCACCUGACGUUUCUGAACCCCAUGGGGUUGCACCACCGGGGAAAAUACAACAAGGCAGCCUCCUGCCCUGGAGAAUCCCCGGCAAGCGGCGGGGGGGAGCACUGACACGGAAACGGAUGGCGACCAACACGUGAGGGGCUGUGGGUCCCCCCGGGGGGGAGUGAGCACCCUGGGGUGCAGAGAAAGACAUGGGGCAGAGAAAGCUUCCUGAAGGAGGUGCCCCCCAGGGGUGGCCGGAGUUCACCAGGCGGACAUCCAGUGGGAGGGGGGCUUGGAGGGAACAUUCCAGCUAAGUCCACAGCAUGUGCAAAGGCCCAGAAUGUUUAUA